CACGUAGGGCGCAAGCGUUGUCCGGAAUUAUUGGGCGUAAAGAGCUCGUAGGCGGUCUGUUGCGUCCGCUGUGAAAACUCGGGGCUUAACCCCGAGCCUGCAGUGGAUACGGGCAGACUAGAGGUAGGUAGGGGAGAAUGGAAUUCCCGGUGUAGCGGUGAAAUGCGCAGAUAUCGGGAGGAACACCAGUGGCGAAGGCGGCUUCCUGGCCUGUUCUUGACGCUGAGGCGCGAAAGCUAGGGGAGCAAACGGGG
rnacentral:rRNA from 1 species